rnacentral:rRNA from 1 species
UACAGAGGGGGCAAGCGUUGUUCGGAAUUACUGGGCGUAAAGGGCGCGUAGGCGGCCUUCUAAGUCGAACGUGAAAUCCCCGGGCUCAACCCGGGAACUGCGUCCGAUACUGGAAGGCUUGAAUCCGGGAGAGGGAUGCGGAAUUCCAGGUGUAGCGGUGAAAUGCGUAGAUAUCCGGAAGAACACCGGUGGCGAAGGCGGUCUGCUGGGCAGUUGCUGGACACUGAUGCGCGACAGCGUGGGGAGCAAACAGG